GGGUUGUGAGGUUAAGCGACUAAGCGUACACGGUGGAUGCCCUGGCAGUCAGAGGCGAUGAAGGACGUGCUAAUCUGCGAUAAGCGUCGGUGAGGUGAUAUGAACCGUUAUAACCGGCGAUUUCCGAAUGGGGAAACCCAGUGUGUUUCGA
rnacentral:rRNA from 1 species